AGCUUUGCGCAGUGGCAGUAUCGUAGCCAAUGAGGUUUAUCCGAGGCGCGAUUAUUGCUAAUAAUACAGACCCAGAAAGUGGGUCCCAAUCCUUAACUUUUUAAGUUUUAAGCAGAUGUUGGAAAAGUUACUAUACU